rnacentral:rRNA from 1 species
GUGCCAGCCGCCGCGGUAAUACGGAGGGUGCAAGCGUUAUCCGGAUUCACUGGGUUUAAAGGGUGCGUAGGAGGAAAGGUAAGUCAGUGGUGAAAUCUCCAAGCUUAACUUGGAAACUGCCGUUGAUACUAUCUUUCUUGAAUACCGUGGAGGUGAGCGGAAUAUGUCAUGUAGCGGUGAAAUGCUUAGAUAUGACAUAGAACACCAAUUGCGAAGGCAGCUCGCUACACGAAUAUUGACUCUGAGGCACGAAAGCGUGGGGAUCAAACAGGAUUAGAUACCCCGGUAGUCC